UGCUUGGUGCAGAGCGCUCCCACGGCACCGCACACGGAGGCGCUGCACUUCAGGUGGUGGGUGUGUGUGGCAACCCUGUGACUCGUGCCCAGACUUGAAUGGGGCGUCGGGUGAUUCUGCAGAUGGAUGGAAACACCAAGGCGCCCUGUGUGUGUUCCAGUUUCACUCCAGCACCCUCUGGAUUUACAGCUUUGCCCGGGUCUGUCGUCAUCGCCGGCAAGAUCCUGCUGCCUCCACGUCUUCUGCUUGGAGAAACCGACUCUGAGAUCCCUGAUUCUGCCAGACAGAAGGAAUCUUCUGUUUUUCUGCUCUCCAUAACACAAAAUACCUCUAUCACAGACAAUGUGACAACAUUAUAUCACUUCUUGCAAAACAACGGGCUUUGAAAGUGCAAGAUAUGCUGCUUAACUCUUGAAGAGCUGACAGACAUCACACCUUUUCCAGGAGGAUUGUGACUGGAGCUUCAAUCAUUUUUUUCUCCCCCGGUUUCUAUGCAGUGACCACUCAGAAUCUCAACAUGAUGGACUUUCAAUGGAAAGCAUCCUUACGGAAUAUCAGAGGGAAGCUGUUUCCUCAAAGAGGCUCCACGUGCUGCCCGCUUACAACUCCUUGAAGUCAUUCAAGACAGCAAAGUCAUCCUGUUGUUGAUGACAUCUCCCAGGGCACGUCGGUAACUGAUGGGGGCAGCGUGCUAGGCCUGGGACCCUGGGAUGCUCUGCUGGCCCUGCACGCGCACUCUUUCCCUCUGCGCUUGCACUCCUACUGCAGGAAGCACCUCUUGGCAGCUUCGUGUUGCCAGUCUUUCCAGGAAUUCAGCCAGGUCUCUGGGAAAUACCGGGAUACGCAGUUUGAAAAGAGAAAGGGCUACAAUCGUGUUACUUCUGGCAUAGGAAUGGGUUUUACAGUGGCAAGGGCAAGACUCGAUUCCUGGGGCAGACACAACUGGGCGAUGGUGCUUGGUGACGAUGAGCAGGCUGCUCCGUGUGGCCAUUCUGCAACCCUUGGAUCUGAGCCUACUGGAGGCUGGCAUGGAAAGUGCACGCACCUCAGCCGGAGGGGCCUUUCUUAUUCGAGACUGGUUUAUAAGAGAUGUGACAAGAUGCAGCAGAGAAACUGACCUCCGGGCAGAUCCUUAGUUGGAACUUUCUGUAAAAAGAGGAGCCAGCUGGAUUUGUGAGUCUUUCCUUCUGCUCCAGAAAACCCUCGGAGACGUCUCCUUACUGGGUUUAUAAAGCUAAGAUUCCCAAGCUUUGGAGACCAGCCUGUGAUCGAGGGAGGAUUCUCCAAAAAACUGAGGUCCCUGAUGUGUGGUCUCUGGAACAGUCAGAGGCGAGGUGGAGACAGAGGGAGUCUCUGAAAGGGUCUAUUUCAAACCGUGGAAGCCCAGAGUGCUGUGGCCAAAAAUCCAAGUUGAACUUGACUGUCAAUUCAAGAACAAUAUUCUUCCUAAGUAAAAGUUGUUAUUAUAGAGAGGGACUUAUCACCGAAAUUUUUUUAUUUUAAUAAGCAUUCAAAGCCUCAGGACCUGACAUUGGAAGCUGCAAAGUGAAUUCCUGCUACUUCAGAAAGGUACAGCCUCGCACAGGUACUCAGGCGAAGAGAAGAAUGAAUUAUUAAGCCAACUUGUGAAGAGAUCAUAAGUUCUAGCUUCCCCCCCAGGUACUCUUCUGAUGUGUUAAGGAAUUUCUGUUGAGAAUUUUUGAAAGAAUCAAUGAUUAAGUCUGCAGGAGUGUGUGCCCUACUCCGCAAAAGCUCAGGUGGCUCAAAGGAGGUCUGAAGUGCAUCUCAGAAGAUUAGCCUGGGAGCCUAAGCUCAUCGGUUCUAGCUCAGUCUGAAACAAGUCUUCUUUGCCUAGAGGAUGAGCAGCCAGCUUGCAGGAGGAAGUCAGCGGGACGCUGCAGGUAGAGAAUGCCAGAGGCUGCGGCGGCCAUGAGGGACAGAGCCGGGACACACACUAGCUGCUGGAGGGCAGCCAUGUCUACUCGUACGUCACUCCAAAGGCCAAUGAGAGAGUCAUCCUGAACAAGCCUUUGGGAAAGAAACCUAGAGGAAAAUGUGCAAUUCCAUGUAAAGUCACGAUCAUUGCUCUAUCUGACCUCCUAACUGACCCUAAGACUUAAGUAGGGUUUCCAUUCAGAGACACGAAGGAGAAGCAGUGAUUGCCAUUUGAUCAAGCCAGGUUUGAUCAGACCACUAGGAAGCAGGUGUCUGGACAAGCACACAGGAUACCUCCACCUAUGCCGGCUGCAUCGUGGUGGAACCACCUGCCUCACUGGACUAGCUCAGUCAUCCCCCGUGUCACCUCCCUUGCCCUGGGGAUGGGCCCAUCUAGCUGAACGUCUGUCUGCUGGGCCAGGCCUGCAGGGACUUCCUGCCCCUCCCCACCUGGUGGCUGAGGGCAGCACAGCCCAGGCUCCCCAUCUUGGCCCCUUAUUCUACCUCACCAAAGUCUGCAGUAGAACCCGUGGGCUCAUCUGCGGGUCUCUUUCUGUGCCAGAGGUGGAGUGAGACACUAUACGUAGCUCGAGAAUGUGCUAAACACUAAUAGAGUGACACAAAUGGCAGGCUUUCAAUUGGAGAGACCCUCACUCAGAUUCCUUGGCUUGGGUAAAUCACUCUGCCGGUCUAAUUCUUGGUCUCCUCAUUUGAAUAUUGGGAUAAUGAUAAUGUAUCCUGUUAGCUAUGGUCAGAGUAAGUGAGGUAGUCUAUAGUAAGUGUAUACAGUGCUUUCUUGUGCUCAAUAUGCACUAACAUUAAUAAUAGAAUUACUUUUGGUGCAGGGUGCUUCUGUCUAGAGGCAGGCAGGAUGGGUCUCCCCCCUAAAGAUGCCAUUCUUUGUGACGAGAACGGCACACACAGUAUUUGGGGGAAAUUAGCUCACCAUCACUGCGUCUCCCGUUAACAGCACUUACUCUGUAACUGGUCACGGGCGAAAGUGACCGGGGUGUUACACAGCCCGACGAUUUGGUUUCCAGGCACAAUGCAGGAGACUUGGAAUGUUCCCUUCUAGGAACCCAGGCAGCCCUGCUUACUUAGAACGGUGGCAAUGACUUGGUACUCAAAGGGCGGGCAGCCCCGUUAAGCAUCUCCCUCCCUCACUCUUCUACUUAAUUCAAUAGAAGGUCCAAUAGCAAUAAUCUCUGUGUAGAUAGAGCGGCCUCUGGUGAGAUUGGAGAGCACAGAGAAAACUCCAGAUAAGCAGACACAGUGAAACUGAUACCACAACACUGGAGUUGUGGGCUGACUAAUCCUGGCCUGUUGUAGGAAACUCCUUUGUGAGUCACUGCCCUGGACCGUUGAUGGUAAGGGACCCCUGGAAGGCUGUGCUUGUACUGCCACCUAGUGGUUAUAAUAAGCAAGGCUCGGUCUGGGAAGAAUUCUGGACCCAAGUCAGACCCACCUGUGCAGUGAUCACUGUGAACCAACAUCUUCCUCACCAAAGUUUUAUAAGAUGAACAUUUUAUUCACAGAUUUAUAACCUAGUUCCCUAAUGUGAUUUGAUUCAAUUUUAUCAUCCCCCCCAAAGCACUGAACCACCAUGAGAUUCAACAUAGGGGCAAAAGCCCCAGCCUAGAAGUCUAAAGGCUCUCUUAGAAGAUGGAAGUUAACAAUACCCAGGGUUUAGGCAGCCUUGAGGUCUGAGUGUGAAACCGCUGUAUAAACUGAUGCAUUCCGCUUUCAAACAUUCUGCCCUGCUUCCCUCCCGGAUUCUGCCCCUUUAUGCCCCUAUGCCCACACCCACCCUUCAAUAAAACCAACCAGCCAACCUCCUCUUCUCCCACAGAAAGUGGAAGACCCUUAUCCCUUAUUAGUGCUGAAAGUAGAAAACGCACAAAAACCAAACAAAAAUAAAAAAUGGGAAAGAGCCAACGCAGGAUGUGCUCGUGGGACAGUUAACGAUGUAAAGAGUCAGGGAAGACCCCUGCCGUUCACAGCCCCCACUUACCAGGAGAAAACUUCAUUCAGAGGACAACAGCCACCCAGAAGUGGGUUGACCCCAGACAGAUCUUGCUGAGUUGACAUUGAGUGAUGGUGCCUCCAGGUGGAGACCAAGGAUUCAGCAUGUUUCCCAGCCUCAGUCCUGGCCCUGAAUCUGGGCCUUCCUGCCUGACCUGGGUGGAGGCAUCCUCAGAACAGUUCCUGCCCUGCUCAACCCCUCUCUCAUCUCUGAAAUUCUCCAGGCAUCUGCGUUUCUGCACACCUGUCUGGGCUCCCCUGGCUCAGCCCCCUGCCCCUCGUCCUCUGUGGGGCUGCUGUGGCUCAGUGUGUGUCCUGCCCAGCUGAGCAGAGGUCUCCAAACUUGCUUGAUGAUACACCCUUAUCUGUAAAAUAAUUUUAAGCACACACCUCACUUGGGACAUUUAUUUCAGUAUAUAUGCACUACUGUAUUAAUAUAUCAGGUCUAUUAUAAAACUUCCAUGAAGAUAGAUAUCCUAAAAGGAUAAGAAAUUAAAAUAUAAUGUAUGUACCAACAGGCCUGUGCCCAGGAGUGAGUGCAGCCCCUUUUGGGGAACACAGGUCUGGGGUGGGCCUGGACCCUUUCUCUGGCUGUGAGAGCUGUACUUGGGGCAUAGGGAGCUUGUAUCUUGUGAACUGGCAUGAGGUUAAGAGAAGCGGGACAUACGAGGCGGACCCUCUCCUGAAGCCCCCACCUCAACUCAGGGAGGAAGGAGACAUCUGCCAGGAGGGGAGUCAGGAGUGAGAGCGACCACGAUUCUCUUCUCAAAUCACACCUUCCUCAUGGGUGUCUCAGAAGACUGUGGUCACCCACAAUGAGAACUCUGGACACAGAGGGCACUGGCUUUCUUGCCCUGUGUUAUAGGAUCUUCUGAUUCUCCUGAGAGGACUCCAUGAUUUGCUGAAGUGAAAAGGAUCAUCCACUGGAUACAAGCAAUACUGGGUCAUUUACAUACAUGGUACCAUUUAACCCCCCCAAGCAAUCCUGAGAGACAGAGGUACAACCCCAUUGCAGAAGGAAGCUGAAGCUAGGAGAGGUUAAGUCACGCCCUCAAGGCCACAUAUCUCUUCCAAAGUAGAGUCUGCCUAUUUCUAAAGCCCCAGACUAAUUGUACAAGUUCAGAACUGUCAACUUUUGAUAAUAAUAGUAAUAUAAAACAAAUUAACUUUUAUGGAGUUCUUAAUCUUUAUAAAGGCUUAACUGUUGCAUCUGGUCCUCACAAAAGCACUGAGUUGAUUCUACCUACUCUUUAAAAAGGAAACUGAAGCUUAGUGAGGUUUAGUAAUUUGUCCAGAAUUACUAGUUCUAGAAAGCUGUGGAAAUGUGAUGUCUGACCCAAAGCUGGAAAUUGUAACCUUUACCUCCUUCUCCAAGUCAGUCCAGCUGUGCCGACAGGGAAGUGCGGAAGCAGGACCCAAACAGCAGCAUUCUGAACUCUGGAGGCUUUCUCCCAUGCCUGAAGAUGCCUGGACGGGGAUGGGUCAUGUUAAGCAGAAUUAGUUUGUCAGGUUAGCCAAAGGCAGGGCAGAGCUAAUUCCUGCUCAGAGUCUAUGUGAAUCUCUAAACUUGUUUUCUUGCUGUGAAAUGGAGGGGCUGGAUGAAACACACUCCAAGACCUAGGAUGGCAAGACUAGCCUUAUCUCUAACUUCUAUAGUUCUAUCAGAUGGAGAGUGGAUGUUUUUGUGUGGGGAAGGGACAGGUCUGAGAACAAAGAUAUUCCCACCCUUUAACACGGAUCGACUCUGCCCCUAGCCUGGAGGACACCCCCAACCACACACACACACACACACACACACACACACGCACACACACAACUGUGUUCUCCAACUUCUAAGCACAGGCCAUUUGUUUUUUGAAUUGAACUGUUAUGUAAAAAAAAAAAAAUCAAUAAAUCAAUCCUUCGUUUAAUUCCUGAAUUUCAGGGAAGUAUUCUUUGUUUCUGGAGAUGCCUUGAUUUCAGAACAUGGGGUUGUUCCCUUGAAUCAGCUACCUUACGAGUAUCAAGCAGUGCUCACCUGGCCUUGUCCUCUGUGGGCAUUCUCUCCUUGACUCGGCAACAAUUCAACCGGAGUUUUACCCCACAAUGUGCCGGGUCCCUGAGAGACAAAAUUUGGGAGGUGUGUUUAACUGAUAGGCUCAGAAUCCUUCCUAAGUAAGUUACUAGUCUGUAAACAUACUUCUAGCUAAUACAGUAAACUUAUCAAGUGUAUUGUGUUCAUAGGGAAUGUUAAUAGAUAGGUAACAAUCUAAGCCUGUUUAUACAUCCCCAUGAUGGUUUGCUGCCUCUAAACUGCUGCACAGGGCAGCGAAUUCUCACCGGUCCCCUAGACUGUACCUGCCCGAGGGUCUGGGGCCACAUCUCAUAUGUCUUAUUUUCCUACCUCCCUGGUUCAGUGCUCUCCUUGUUUGUUGAACUGAAUGGAUUUUUGGUAAAGAGGAGUUCACAGAUUUGCUUAGCCUGUCACUGGACAGUUCUAAUAGAAUGUUAUUCCCCAGCGGAGCUGAGGCAUAUUUCUGUGUAAUGUGUUCCUCACAGGUGGGCAGAAGUGAGAGGAGCUCACCAAAUCCUCACUGACGGGCAGCAGGGGAAAAGAGCAAGACUACUGAGCGCCUCUGCAGGCAAAUUGUUCUGGAAACUAGUCCUGCUCACUUGCUGGCGUUUUAGCAGAUGCUCACGCCACACCAGCAACAUGUGGUAGGAACUGGCUCUGCAUGAACAUUUAACUCGGCUUCCUUGGCCUGAACUCCAUUGGCAUCCUCCACCUUAAAAGCAAAGAUUUAUCUGUCCCUAAUCUCUCAGAGCCUGUGUCUUCCAUGUGGCUGGAUAUAGAGGGUCAUUACUAGGUCCCACAUACUCCCUGUCUUUCCCACUCCAUUUACUAUCAUAUGAAUUAGAGGUUCCACCUUUAGAUUUUAUUUUAUAUAAAGCUCUAGUAAUGAAAGAGGCUUAAGACAUCAUCUACCUUCUUUGUCCAACACUGCAGCCACUAGCCACAUGUGAUGAUCUAAAUUAAAAUUAAAAUUAAAUAAGAAAUUAAUUAAAAUUCAAUAAGAAAAAAAAUUUUAAUGGAGGUACUGGGGAUUGAACCCAGGGCCUCGUGCAUGCUAAGCACCUGCUCUACCCCUGAAAUUAAAUAGGGAAUUUUAAAAAAUGGUUUCUCACUUGCACUAGCCAUAUUUCAAGGCCUUAAUGGCCACAUGCGGCUAGUGGCUACCACAUUUAAAGUGCAGAAGUAGAAUGUUUCUAUUAUCCCAUAAAUUUCUGUUGGACAGUCCUGGUGACAAAAACACUGAUUUUAAAAACAAAGAAGAGAUUAAAUGCUGCACUCAAAGUCCAUGGCGGAAGAGAAAUGAAACCCAGUUUUCCACACUUGAAAGCUCCCCUUUACUACACUGGAGGAGGUGUCAUUUAAAAUUCCCAGGGGAGAGGUUUCUCAAUGGCAUGCUAAUAUAUGUCACCACGAGUUAACAGGACCAUCUAAUCCUUCCUGGAAGAAGGGGGUCAGGCAGUGUGGGGAGCCGCGAAGGAUGAGUCACGGGACAUGAGGGUCCAAGACUCAGGGCACGGGUCAGGCAAGCCCAGAGGCAGGGCAGACAGGGCGUGUGUCAUCUGUCUGUAUUUCCAGGCCUGGACUGGAGCUGGGACUCCAUUGUGCCAAAGGAGACAAGAGGAGCCAGGGGUUGCACGGAUGGCCGGGCGUCCAGCAACAGGACAUCUGAGGAAGAUUGGGGAACUCUAACCAAGAUCUUCAACAAGUGGUGUCCCUGUGCCAGCUUUCCACUCUGUCUUGUCUUGGCCCUCCACAUUUAUGCUCUGCUUACUGGGAGGUGCAGCACCAUUCUGGAGCUGUUGAACUGUGUCUUAGUUCAUAUCAUAUGAACUUUGGUAAUGAAUUUCAACCUACUGUGAAAACACACAAGGCAUAGGUUAAAGGUUUAGUUUAGGUUUGUUUUCGUAGCUCUACAGCUGAGCCAUAGAAGGAGUGUAGGACGGGAACACACAAGACCCGGGUCUAACACUCUGAUCCUGGGCGCCUCAUUUAACAUCAGUUCCCUCAUCUGUGAAAUGGGACAACAGGAAGGAUUCCUUCUCCGGAUUGUUGAGGAGAUUAGUGAGCAGCACAGGUGUGAUGGUGUCCAUGUCACCGGCGAGGAGGCUGAGAGAUUACCAGUAAGCAGCAGAGUGGAUCUUUCAAUUCCAGUCUGAGGCUCUUUUUAUUGGAAGGCUCCUGGCAUCUAGAAACACAAUUUUUGAACUAUGAUAGACCAAUGAGGAAGAAGCAGGGGGCAUAAGCAGUGACAGCCUGCAAACAGCAUCCUGAUAUCUGAACAUUAGUGACUGCAGAAUGCUGUGGGGUGAAUGCUCCUCUGGAACACAGUUUGAAGCUUCAGCUGGUUUGUUUAGUGACCUGGCUGGACUCAUUCAGACUUUGGUUUCCUGGGAAGAUUUCAUAUCUAAUUACACCUGAGAAUGGUCCUAGUAUAUUGCUGGCUGGUUCUAUAGCAAUGCACACAAACAAUGUCCCACAACAAUAACAGUAGGAGCAGCUACCAAUUAUUGAUUGCUCGCUAUGUUCAGGACACUGUCAGAUGAGUCCUUUCCAUUUAGUGCUCUGUCUUCUUUUUUCUCGGGUCCAUAUUCCAUUUCUGCCAACAUUUCUAUCCAAAUUGGCUUUAAGAUGCCCACUAACCAGUUUGUCUCCCUCUGCAUAUACCAAGACCACAAGGGCCGUGCUGAACCCCUGGCUGGUCUACAUGGAGGCAUCACCCAAGGACUAGGAAGAAGAGGCCACUUCACCCAAGUGUGGUCCAGUUCCAGAUACCAGGUCUUCUUCAGAUGCCAACUUCUCUUGACAUGCCUCCUCCCAGCCUGGCACCAUGGCUGACAUCUCUUGCUAUUGGAUUCAGAUAUCGAAAGGCUCUACCCAAGAGCACCUGAGGGCCAGGCAUAGAGCCUGGCUCUCAUCCAUCAUUAAAGGGAUAGCAGAUGGUGUGUGGUCCUCGAAAGACCAGGGCUUUCAGAGCCUGAAGACCUGGGUGUGAACAGUGGUUCCAAGUAUGUCCACUGGGAGGUUGGGUGAUUUACUGAACUGCUCUGCAUGUCAAGUUCCUCAUCUGUUAGCAGAGAUUUACAGUCUGCUUUACAAGGGCGUUGGGUGAAGAUGACUGUGGCAUCUGGGUAAAGCAUGAAGACAGUCCCUGACAUCCAGUCAGUGUUCGGUGCUGAGGCUCUGCCGGGCCCUUCCCUGAGCUCCUGCUUCCUUUCCCUGUGUCCCUUAGUGUCCAACUUAACUUGUGCCACAGGAGCUAUCUGGGGCUAUUUUCUGAGGACGUGCCAGCCCCAUCCCACCGUUUCUGCCUUCUUCCUCCCCGCUUCCACUUUGGACGGGGCCCUGUGCCCGGGUGCAGGAAGGAUCUGAACGUGGUCCUCUGGAGGCCUCUGCACUGAGUGGAGGGCAGUGAGUCCCCAGUGGUCGGCCUCGGUUGGCAGGCCAUCCAGACUGGGCAACAGGCGCAUUCAUUCUUGCUACGUAAAGUGUGCUCCGCGGCCCAGCAGUGUUGGCAGCAUCUGGCAGCUGGUUGUAAAUGCAGAGUCCUGGGCCACUGAGUCAGAAUCUGCAUCUUGACAAGAUCUCCAGGGAUUCACAUAAACAUCAGGACUUGAGAAGCCCUGGACUGGGCCCUCAGAUCACCUCUACAGGAGAAUUUGGGUUUUUCUUCCCAGGGGUCAGUGCUGGUGUCAGCAGAGCCUCCAACAGGUGUGUGUUCAAAACAUCUGCUAAAGUCAGAUUUACCCAUGUAAGAGUUUUUUUUUUUUUUUUUUUUUUUUUAUUCUCUCUAGAUUGUCUAAAGCAAACUUAAUGAAUCUCUGUCCU